CCCGCUGAGUUUAAGCAUAUAAAUAAGCGAAGGAGAAGAAACUUACAAGGAUUCCCCUAGUAACAGCGAGCGAACCGGGA
rnacentral:rRNA from 1 species